GGAGAUGCUGCCACCUAGGUUACUUGUAGGACCCUAUACGGCAACCUCCUUUGCCAGGAACUAUUUAUAAACAUCCUGCAGGAAAAUGAGUCAAGGAAGCUUUUCUUUUGAGCUAUUUACAGCUUUUAGCAAUUGAGUAAAGUAUACUCCUGUGAACAAAAUUUGGAACAUAUUUGUUUCUCUCUAACUGAUUUCUCCAGAAUUUGGAACUAGUUAACCAGGAACCCUCUCUUGGGGUGUGGAUCGAGACCCCUUUCUGGUAACGAGAGCACAGCUUGGUUUUAUACAUUUUAAGGAGACAUGAGACAUCAAUCAACGUAUAUAAGAUGAACAUUUUGAUCUGAAAAGGCCUCUUUAAAUAUACACUUCUCUGUAGUGUAUGCUAGAAAUGGAGUGGCUGGAAUAAAAGUGGCUGAAUCAUCUUCAACUCUAGUAGCUGAGACCAAUGAUGCUGACCUCCCUCAAAAGCUGCAUUUCUGAAUUUCUGAAGGCAAACUGUCUGCCUAUAUUGUACAGCAAAAUAAUUUCCUGUAUUAAAACGUUUUUAUUGCUCUAAAUUUCUAGAUUAAACUCUGCUUAGGUAUUGCUA
rnacentral:lncRNA from 1 species